rnacentral:rRNA from 1 species
AUUGAACGCUGGCGGCAUGCCUUACACAUGCAAGUCGAACGGCAGCACGGACUUCGGUCUGGUGGCGAGUGGCGAACGGGUGAGUAAUGCAUCGGAACGUACCCGGUAGUGGGGGAUAACUACCCGAAAGGGUGGCUAAUACCGCAUAUACUGUGCGCAGGAAAGCAGGGGACCUUCGGGCCUUGUGCUACCGGUGCGGCCGAGGUCAGAUUAGGUAGUUGGUGGGGUAACGGCCUACCAAGCCUGCGAUCUGUAGCGGGUCUGAGAGGAUGAUCGGCCACACUGGGACUGAGACACGGCCCAGACUCCUACGGGAGGCAGCAGUGGGGAAUUUUGGACAAUGGGCGCAAGCCUGAUCCAGCCAUGCCGCGUGAGUGAAGAAGGCCUUCGGGUUGUAAAGCUCUUUCGGACGGAAAGAAAUCGCGCAGGCUAAUACCCUGCGCGGAUGACGGUACCGUCAUAAGAAGCACCGGCUAACUACGUGCCAGCAGCCGCCGCGG